GAUGAACGCUGGCGGCGUGCCUAAUACAUGCAAGUCGAGCGAACGGACGAGAAGCUUGCUUUUCUGAUGUUAGCGGCGGACGGGUGAGUAACACGUGGAUAACCUACCUAUAAGACUGGGAUAACUUCGGGAAACCGGAGCUAAUACCGGAUAAUAUUUUGAACCGCAUGGUUCAAAAGUGAAAGACGGUCUUGCUGUCACUUAUAGAUGGAUCCGCGCUGCAUUAGCUAGUUGGUAAGGUAACGGCUUACCAAGGCAACGAUGCAUAGCCGACCUGAGAGGGUGAUCGGCCACACUGGAACUGAGACACGGUCCAGACUCCUACGGGAGGCAGCAGUAGGGAAUCUUCCGCAAUGGGCGAAAGCCUGACGGAGCAACGCCGCGUGAGUGAUGAAGGUCUUCGGAUCGUAAAACUCUGUUAUUAGGGAAGAACAUAUGUGUAAGUAACUGUGCACAUCUUGACGGUACCUAAUCAGAAAGCCACGGCUAACUACGUGCCAGCAGCCGCGGUAAUACGUAGGUGGCAAGCGUUAUCCGGAAUUAUUGGGCGUAAAGCGCGCGUAGGCGGUUUUUUAAGUCUGAUGUGAAAGCCCACGGCUCAACCGUGGAGGGUCAUUGGAAACUGGAAAACUUGAGUGCAGAAGAGGAAAGUGGAAUUCCAUGUGUAGCGGUGAAAUGCGCAGAGAUGUGGAGGAACACCAGUGGCGAAGGCGACUUUCUGGUCUGUAACUGACGCUGAUGUGCGAAAGCGUGGGGAUCAAACAGGAUUAGAUACCCUGGUAGUCCACGCCGUAAACGAUGAGUGCUAAGUGUUAGGGGGUUUCCGCCCCUUAGUGCUGCAGCUAACGCAUUAAGCACUCCGCCUGGGGAGUACGACCGCAAGGUUGAAACUCAAAGGAAUUGACGGGGGCCCGCACAAGCGGUGGAGCAUGUGGUUUAAUUCGAAGCAACGCGAAGAACCUUACCAAAUCUUGACAUCCUUUGACAACUCUAGAGAUAGAGCCUUCCCCUUCGGGGGACAAAGUGACAGGUGGUGCAUGGUUGUCGUCAGCUCGUGUCGUGAGAUGUUGGGUUAAGUCCCGCAACGAGCGCAACCCUUAAGCUUAGUUGCCAUCAUUAAGUUGGGCACUCUAAGUUGACUGCCGGUGACAAACCGGAGGAAGGUGGGGAUGACGUCAAAUCAUCAUGCCCCUUAUGAUUUGGGCUACACACGUGCUACAAUGGACAAUACAAAGGGCAGCGAAACCGCGAGGUCAAGCAAAUCCCAUAAAGUUGUUCUCAGUUCGGAUUGUAGUCUGCAACUCGACUACAUGAAGCUGGAAUCGCUAGUAAUCGUAGAUCAGCACGCUACGGUGAAUACGUUCCCGGGUCU
rnacentral:rRNA from 1 species